rnacentral:miRNA from 1 species
ACCUCGGAAGCUAAGCAGGGUCGGGCCUGGUUAGGGUUUGUACUUGGAUGUGGGAAAUGUGAAGGAUUGAUAGCAAGCCAGCAUUCUCCUUGUUCCUUGCCCGCCUUCCCACUGUGCACGUGACCCUCACCC